UCAUGCUGGCUGUGAAUUCCAGUGUUUCAGAUUCCACAGGCUACUCAUCGGCAUUUUUGACACUGGGCCGCGAACCCUGUACGCUAGGUACGGGAAGGCAACUAGCGUCAGGCCAAGGCGAGAGUCAACGAAGGCAGGCCACGAGCGAACCAGAGCACCAAUGAACAUUCCCGACGGAAGCGGGACAGAGGGGAAGAAUGGAAUAGAAGGAUGGGCCCAGCUGGGUCAACAGCCCACCACUGGAAAGGGGGACUCGAUCCGACUCUGAAGAAAAAAAAACCCACGAAGGAAGAAACAGACUACGGGUCCAGGACUGAAAGACAAAGAGGCUAUGCAACCGGGCAAUAAGCUCGUUGAAUGUCCCGAAGAAAGAGGAGAGACGGUACGAGAGUCAAGGAAACAGUACCGUAAGAACGAGCGUCUGGAGUCUGAAGUGUCGCUUGUCACAGUUUUGGGAUAGUCCGAAAGUAGCAUUAUCUUGUUAGGAACUUGCUUUAAGUAGGGCCACCUACCCAUUAACCUAUAUCUACCAAUGCAGUCUGGGUUCUAUCGAAAUUGCAAGCUUACACUGUAAUAAAUAAAAAACGCAACCUGGGCAUACUAGUGAACGCCAUGCCGGUCGUUCUCUUUCCGUUUUAACCUUGGAGGUGAUCAGACGUACAAGUGCGACCAACCAAAAACACACCCACGUUUUCUUGCAAAUUUUUUUUGUAUUUCGAUAUUCUAUAUCACUAAAUCGGUGAGUUAGUUUUUCUAAAGUGAACUUCGCUUUAGCUAAUUAUUUUCGUCUAUAGUACACAAGCCCAGCUUAGUAUCCCACCAGCUGUAUUUAAAUUUGGGGUUAUUUCGGUGCCAGAUCAAAGGUUCUGGCACCUUGUGCUACCCACAAGCAACCGCCGGCUCCAAGCCGUACCACCAGAGCAGCACGGCCAGCAGAGUAGCCGAUGCACAUCGAUCAUCAGAACAUCUCUUUUGGCCGAAGCCAUCGGAUGACCUAUAUUCAAGUGUUAUUAGUGUGAAUUAAUCUACCCCCCGCAAAAGUUCAGUGAAAAAAACAAAUCCUGUAGCGAAAAAAAAAGGGGGAAAUCAAAAACCCUUCACAUUAAGCGGUUCAAUUUUUUUUUGGUUAUACCACGAGGUGGCUACACUGUGACAAACUAAUGGUUUUACCGCACGCAUUACAAAACAUGUGCUAAUACACUAAUAAAACAAUUAGACACCAACGAUCGCCAAAACAAAAAGAAUGAAUUCAAUUUAAAACGUUAC